GAUGAACGCUGGCGGCGUGCAUAAUACAUGCAAGUCGAGCGAAGCGGGGACGGGUGAGUAACACGUGGAUAACAUCCUAUAAGACUGGGAUAACUUCGGGAAACCGGAGCUAAACCGGGUACUUAUAGAUGGCUCUGCGCUGCAUUAGCUAGUUGGUAAGGUAAAGGGUUACCAAGGAAACGAUGCAUAGCCGACCUGAGAGGGUGAUCGGCCACACUGGAGCUUAGACACGGUCCAGAUUCCUACGGUAGGCAGCAGUAGGGAAUCUUCCGCAAUGGGCGAAAGCCUGACGGAGCAACGCCGCGUGAGUGAUGAAGGUCUUCGGAUCGUAAAACUCUGUGAUUAGGGAAGCGGUACCUAAUCAGAAAGCCACGGCUAACUACGUGCCAGCAGCCGCGGUAAUAC
rnacentral:rRNA from 1 species